GGGUGAUACAAGAGAUUCUGUUGGUUGUUCAGAGAUGUUGAGAGAUCAACCGGGAGAUUGUGGGAGGAUGUGAGCUCUCUGAGAAGGAGAAGAAGUAUUUACAUUAGAAGUCUGAUUCACAGGUCAGGGGCAAAGUGAAAAACAUCUGCAUUUUUAAAAGAGAGGUCAAAAGUCUGUCUGACUCACCUGUGCUAAGUGACUUGAGUGCCAUCUAAUCUAACUUCAAGAUCAUCAGGAUACUUGCCAACAAGGUCACAGUGGACUCCAUGGAGCAACUGCUCUCAGGAGGCAACAGAUUCUUUUUGAGGGGAGUCUCUUUGAUGCUUGGAAUGAAUCCUGCUGAAUCACUGCUGAUGCUUGGAGAUCUUCAAGUCUUUUCCUGCUUUCCCGUUGCUCAUGAUGUCUAUAUAACCUCCAAACAUGCAUCCCACUCCUCUGCCGAAAGACCAUUUUUUUAUAUCUUCAGUGAUGAUAUAGGCCAGAUCACAGUGUUUGGACACCUCAUGAACAUGCCAAUUUCCUGUGUUGUAAUAUUUUUAUGCACCUUAAGAAGACCACCAGAAACAGCAGAAGCUCUGAGUAUAGAUGAGGCAAACUUCACAUGGAAAAGAAGCCAUAGUUUGAAAAAACUACGUGGAAUCAAAGAGAACUAACUCAUAGAAGCAAAAUUUUGGAGAUAAGAGAAGAUGUUCCAGGAUUACUUCAUGCUGUCCAGGUCCUAGAUGUGGAAUCAUUUGCUUCUUCAAAAGUCUGGAUCCCUUUAAGAUACAAAUUGUAUUUAGA
rnacentral:lncRNA from 1 species